rnacentral:rRNA from 1 species
UACGUAGGGUGCAAGCGUUAAUCGGAAUUACUGGGCGUAAAGCGUGCGCAGGCGGUUUUGUAAGACCGAUGUGAAAUCCCCGGGCUUAACCUGGGAACUGCAUUGGUGACUGCAAGGCUUGAGUGUGUCAGAGGGAGGUGGAAUUCCGCGUGUAGCAGUGAAAUGCGUAGAUAUGUGGAGGAAUACCGAUGGCGAAGGCAGCCCCCUGGGAUAACACUGACGCUCAUGCACGAAAGCGUGGGGAGCAAACAGG